UAGAAAUAUACAUAAUUUCACACAAAUAGUUUCCAGGUGAGAAGUUCCGGUUCUUGAAGUGGGCGUGGUGUAUAUAAGGGAGCUGCGGUGUUCAUUCAGGCAUGUGUCGUCUUUGUUCUCCCACUGUGUGGCUUGCGUCUGGUGGACUUUGACAGCAGAAAGCAACAAAUCGCUGGCUGGUGCAUGUUGCGCUGAUGUUCUGGUGGUAAAACGCCACUGCGCUGCGUUCCUUCUCUUCCUCGGUCUGCGAGUGUGUGUGCAUGUUUUGUGGAUCAGCAGGUUCCCCACAGUUGAACCAUUGCUGCUCUGUCUACGUUCGUUUCCCGGAUCUGUUCGGCUUUGUUCUGCACCGGCUACGUAAAUCUCCCGGAUUUCUGCACAAUUGUUCUCAAGUUGGACUG